rnacentral:misc_RNA from 1 species
CUGGUGCUGGUGGUGCCGGCGGGAUGAUGAAGAGUGAAUCCGAUUCAUCAACUGUGAUAGAUUUUAUGGGUAACAAUUUCAAGCCAAAAGCUAAGUUCGACCUUAAUCUUCUUCCGACACCGGAAGACAUGUGAAAAUUCUUCUGUAUCGAUCGGGAAGUUGCCGGAGUUGAUGAUCGGAGAUUCUGCAUGCUUUUUGAACUUUUGUUUUAUUUAAUCAGUUGUAAGUUUGUUUUAUUAGCGUUAAUUCCCCUCUUAAUUACCAGUAAUUAGUGAGAAAAAAAAAAGAUAAAAGGGAAACUAUAUAUAGUCUAUAUAUAAGG